GGCGGGGCUCAGCUCCCCGCCCACACCAGGCGCAUUGCGCGGUGCGUUUCUGAUCCCAGACUUGGUUAAAUCAAUUGGGCUUUGGCAAGAUAACGUGGAAGAGCUAGAAGAACUGCAUUAACAUCUACUGGUCACCUUUAUAAAUGAUAAUAAAAUGAAUGAUUAUUACAGUAUCCUUGUCUCAACUCAAGAAAAUUCACAUGGUGCCUCCUACCCUAUCAGCUCACCGUGUGCAGUGGCAUGUAGGGAGAUGCUGUGGUGGCAUCUGAUUUUAAAGCAUUGAAAGUGGUGGCAUGAAAAAUAUUAACAGGCUGAUUAACAGGCUGGAGAGUGAAACCAACCAUUUUCUCCACGUUACUCAUGGAUGAAGACACUCUAGUGCAUGCUGUAUAAUGUAUAUAAUCAGUGUUAGGACUUUUUCGGCUUCCUUAUAUACAGAGAUGAAUAUACCUAACAAGUUUGAGUUCGUUUUCUAUGGAUAACCAUCCCGAUUUUAGAUGCUUGGCCAAUUAAGCCUGCAAAAUGGAUCAAGAAAUCUCACAAAAGCUUUAUUUUAGCACGUCUGCUUUUUUUCUGCAUGGCCAAGGUGCCAAAAAACAAAAAAGGGGAAAAAAGAAAAGUUUUCUGAUCCUACAGUACAUGAGAAAAGGUUUGGUUCAAGUUAGAGCCGAGUGAAGGUUUGGGGAGUUCGGAAAAUCCUUUUUUCCUCCUUUUUCUUCAAAUUGGUUCUCUGAGCAAGCGUUUUCCGGACUUUUGAAAGCUGAACCCCUCACUUCAGGAAAACGAAAACAAAUGUUCAUCUGUUAAUUCUGCCAUGUGUUGGUAAGGGACAAUUGAUCUUAAUUUCUACAUUUCCUGCAGCUUCCACACUUUUGAGGCAUGCUGAUGUAGAUCUUCAUAAUUCAAUACUUCCUCUCUUCUUACGUGCAUUGAUGAGCAGUGAAAUAUGUACCCAUGGUGAUAUUUUAAAGUGUUGUCAUCGCAUCUGAGUUCGCAUCCAUGGAAAGAAAAGGCACAUUUUACAUAGCAGAGUGAUUAUUUCAGUUCUCUGCAAACUCAGGCAGACAUUACUCAGGCUCUGGACAUCAGCUGAUGGAUAUUUGUCUCCCUUCCCCCAAUUCUGCCCAAGCCUUACGCCAGGGGUAGUCAAUUAGUUUUUGUCAAAGUCCAAAUUUCUUGGUCAGGGUAUAGUCAAGGUCCAGACUCCAGAGAAAAUAAUUAAAAAAUAACAAUGAUAAGUAACUAAAAGGAUUUCAGGGUCCAUUCAAAAGCAUCUGGUGGUCCUGGAUUUGGCCUGCGGUCUGCCUCUUGACUACCCCUGCCUUACACAGUGUGGGAAAGGAUAAGGGACCUUUCCACUCUUGAAUGACACAGCUAAGGGUUGGUCAGAAUUACAACCCCUGUGCUUAGCAGGAUGCAAUCCUGCUACUGUAAUAUUGUCCUGGGGGCAGGGAGUAGGUAGAAUCAAAGUUCUGAUUUCCUCCUUCCUAUUGCAUGCCAGCCAGAAGAGGCGGGGUGUUGCACCCCUUAAGUGAGUGUAGCAGUUUGUGUUUCCACCUGCAUACUUGAGAGCUUUGGGAGGCAUUUUGUUUCUAGCCCUGGACUGUGCUGAACCAGGCACAUUGUAGCUCAUAAAAGUUGAAAGGGCAGAAAGGAAAUUCAGUGACAAAUCUGGACCCAAAAAGCUCAAUUGUGUAGCUAGUUACUUUAGUGCUGCUAUGUAUUCCCAUCCUGGAGGGUUUCUGAAUUACAGGUUAAGUAUCAGAGGGGUAGCUGUGUUAGUCUGGAUCUGUAAAAAAGCAACAAGGAGUCCUGUGGCACCUUAUAGACUAACAGAUGUAUUGGAGCAUGAGCUUUCAUGGGUGAAUACCCACUUCGUGUCACUGAAUUACAGGUUGUGAGAGAUGCUGUGUUUUAAAAGGGACCAGAAAGACACCCCUAAUUUAUAAUUUCAGUAAUACCUAGUGAAAUACUUUUUGCCUAAAUAAUGGCUAUAUACAUUAUGACUCAUGCAUGGAAACAUGCUCUUUGGGUUAAAUCGACAGCUGAAAGAAACAGAAUCUAAAACAAAAAGGAAAUGGCAAAUGAUAAGAGUGAUAUAACUUUCAGGUGUAAAUGUAUUAUGUACACUUUAUGCAAAGAAUUUUCUACUGAGUCCCAUAUAAUAUGUUCCUAUGUUUUCAAUAUCUAACAUUAAACUGUGCAUGUCCCAAAUUGGA